GAGUUUGAUCAUGGCUCAGAUUGAACGCUGGCGACAUGCCUUACACAUGCAAGUCGAACGGCAGCACGGGAGCUUGCUCCUGGUGGCGAGUGGUGAACGGGUGAGUAAUGCAUCGGAACGUAUCCUGGAGUGGGGGAUAACGUAGCGAAAGUUACGCUAAUACCGCAUAUUCUGUGAGCAGGAAAGCGGGGGACCUUCGGGCCUCGCGCUCUUGGAGCGGCCGAUGUCGGAUUAGCUAGUUGGUGAGGUAAAGGCUCACCAAGGCGACGAUCCGUAGCAGGUCUGAGAGGAUGAUCUGCCACACUGGAACUGAGACACGGUCCAGACUCCUACGGGAGGCAGCAGUGGGGAAUUUUGGACAAUGGGGGCAACCCUGAUCCAGCCAUGCCGCGUGAGUGAAGAAGGCC
rnacentral:rRNA from 1 species